AGAGGCGCGCGCGGCCUCCCAACUCCCGGCUGGCGGAAUCCUCCCUAGUCCCCGCCCCGUUUGCCCAUUUUCCAAAAAAUCAGAGCAUAACCCGUUCUAACCCGAUUCCCUGCUCUGUUAUGUUAUGUCUGCCCUCCUCUGAUGCUUGGGAAAUCGUUUGUUCUGUGGGCUUCUCCUGAGGAGAUGGACGAUUUUCAGAGCUUGCAGAAAGAAUUUGAGACCACCUUCAACCAGAGAAGCCUCUGUGGAAAUGUUCCGUCACUGGCCAGUUGUUCUGUCUGUCUGCUGUGGAACCCAGGCCCGUGAGAAGAGCAGGGGAGGUAUAGUCAUUUCCCUUGUUUUAAGGCAGAGGAAACUGAAGAUAAAGCUAUGAAGUGAAGCUGGCUAGUGGCUGCCUCAGGGUUACUACUGAUAUCACUGGACCCCUUCAGAACCAAGCAUGAAUGAAGCCUCCAAGGAGGGGACUGAAAAUGGGUACCUCCCUGUCGCUGUCACCCUUAGGAGCUUUUCACGUGGAGUUAGAAUAGAGCCUAAUGGAAGUGGGCAACUUGAAGCACAUUCUUCCCAGCAAUCCUUUUUCCCACCUGCAAGUGAGGCUCUGAGGGAUUCUUCAGAAAUCAAGACUUCGACCCACUCCAUAUUAUGAAUGCCUCAGCCUACAAAGAGCUUGCCUAACCCAACAUCAAGGGGUGGACACAUGAUGCUGGACUUCCAGGUACCAGAAACAGGCCUUACUCCACCUUCUAUGAGCAUAUGCCUACACAGGUAGGCUGGGUAUUGCAUUUUCUGAAGAGCAGAUACUGUAUUUAAUUCAUAGUUGUAUCCCCAGUGCCUUAUGGCAAGCCUGCCAUGUGGUUGUGACUAAUAAUUGUGUGGUGAAUGAAUCAAGUUCCAUAAAGUCUUUAAAUUUC